GAUGAAGAACGUAGCGAAAUGCGAUACGUAAUGUGAAUUGCAGAUUUCAGUGAAUCAUCGAAUCUUUGAACGCACAUUGCGCCCGCUAGUAUUCUGGCGGGCAUGCCUGUUCGAGCGUCAUUUCAACCAUCAAGCCCUAGGCUUGCGUUGGAGCCCUGCGGCUGCCGCAGGCUCCCAAAUCCAGUGGCGGGCUCGUCGUCGUACCGAGUGCAGUAAACAUCCUCGCUCAGGGAACGUGACGGGUUCUUGCCGUGAAACUCCCCACAUAUCAAGGUUGACCUCGGAUCAGGUAGGAAUACCCGCUGAACUUAAGCAUAUCAAUAAGCGGAGGA
rnacentral:misc_RNA from 1 species